rnacentral:rRNA from 1 species
AUUGAACACUGGCGGCAGGCCUAACACAUGCAAGUCGAGCGAGCGGAGGACGGGUGAGUAAUGUAUGGGGACUGCCCGAUAGAGGGGGAUAACUACUGGAAACGGUAGCUAAUACCGCAUACUAUCGGAUAACCCCUUUGGGGUUAGCUAGUAGGUGAGGUAAUGGCUCACUUAGGAGAAGAUCCCUAGCUGGGCUGAGAGGAUGAUCAGCCACACUGGGACGGAGACACGGCCCAGACUCCUACGGAGGCAGCAGUGGGGAAUAUUGCACAAUGGGCGCAAGCCUGAUUCAGCCAUGCCGCGGGUAUGAAGAAGGCCCUAGGGUUGUAAAGUACUUUCAGUCGGGAGGCGUUACCGACAGAAGAAGCACCGGCUAACUCCGUGCCAGCAGCCGCGGUAAUUC